rnacentral:rRNA from 1 species
GACGAACGCUGGCGGCGUGCUUAACACAUGCAAGUCGAACGGAAAGGCCCUUCGCGUUCCUCUCUUGGCGAACGGGUGAGUAACACGUUGGUGAUCUGCUCUGCACUUUGGGAUAAGCCUGGGACACUGGGUCUAAUACCGAAUAAGACCACGCUCUUCUUGGUGUGUGGUGGCAAGCUUUUGCGGUGUGGGAUGGGCCCGCGGCCUAUCAGCUUGUUGGUGGGGUAAUGGCCUACCAAGGCGACGACGGGUAGCCGGCCUGAGAGGGGGACCGGUCACAAGGGGACUGAGAGACGGCGCAGAAUGCUACGGGAGGCAGCAGGGGGGAAUAUUGCGCAAUGGGCGCAAGCGUGAUGCAGCGACGCCGCGUGAGGGAUGACGGCCUUCGGGGUGUAAACAUCUUUCACCAGGGACGAAGAGUAAGUGACGGUACCUGGAGAAGAAGCAACGGCCAACUACGUG